rnacentral:piRNA from 1 species
AGUCAGCUUUCCUGAGGAGUGGUCUCCUGGC